rnacentral:lncRNA from 1 species
CCCAGAGUCCACCUUUGAAAAUAUCUCCCUAGAGCCAAGGGUGAAUUCCAGGAGCACUUGGGACCCCUGGCAUUGCUCUACCUCUGAACUUAGGCAGAGAAAGGGAGAAUGUGUGCUAUCUCCAAGCAGAUAAAAGGCUUGUCAGCAUUCAAAACAGAUGCCAUUGCAGCCCACAGUUAAUCACCACGGGUCUGAGGAGGCAGAACUUGCAAUCCUUCAGUUAUUGUUAUUUACAGAGGAACUGGAAUUACACUUGCUUGCAAACAGAUGAGAAGACAGGUCACCUUCCUGAAGGUGCAGCCUGGAUAGAGCACAUACAGAGGAGAGAGAUGUCUGGAGUGAGUUUACAAAAAAGACUUUCUGCAUUUCCUGCUGCUCUGCCUAGGAGGUGAAGAGGAAUAAUCUUCUUGGAAACCACAGGAAGCAAGUGAUAGUCUUUUACUACCAGAAAGAUCUGAAAACUUUGUGAAAAUGGUACUGUUUAAUACUUUUCCAUGACAAAGGUUAGCUCCUACAUGUGUGUGUUGGUUGAAUAAAACAUUUUCCUAUUACA